rnacentral:rRNA from 1 species
AGAGUUUGAUCAUGGCUCAGAAUCAACGCUGGCGGCGUGCCUAACACAUGCAAGUCGAGCGAGAAAAGGGGGGCAACUCCCUGAGUACAGCGGCGCACGGGUGAGUAACACGUGGGUAAUCUGCCCUGAAGUGGGGAAUAACACCGGGAAACCGGUGCUAAUACCGCAUACGAUCACGAAGUCUGCGGAUUUUGUGAUGAAAGGAGCAAUUCGCUUUAGGAGGAGCCCGCGGCUGAUUAGCUAGUUGGUGAGGUAAUGGCUCACCAAGGCUACGAUCAGUAUCCGGUCUGAGAGGACGGUCGGACACACUGGAACUGAGACACGGUCCAGACUCCUACGGGAGGCAGCAGUGGGGAAUUUUUCGCAAUGGGGGCAACCCUGACGAAGCAACGCCGCGUGGGUGAUGAAGUCUCUUGGGACGUAAAACCCUUUCGACGGGGAAGAAACCGCAAGGUUGACGGUACCCGUAGAAGAAGCCCCGGCUAACUCCGUGCCAGCAGCCGCGGUAAUACGGGGGGGGCAAGCGUUGUUCGGAAUUACUGGGCGUAAAGGGUGCGUAGGCGGUUCGUUAAGUUGGAUGUGAAAACUCUGGGCUCAACCCAGAGCCUGCAUCCAAAACUGGCGGGCUAGAGUUCUGGAGGGGGUAGUGGAAUUCCUGGUGUAGCGGUGAAAUGCGUAGAUAUCAGGAGGAACACCGGUGGCGAAGGCGGCUACCUGGACAGAAACUGACGCUGAGGCACGAAAGCUAGGGGAGCAAACAGGAUUAGAUACCCUGGUAGUCCUAGCCCUAAACGAUGGAUACUUGGUGUGACCGGGAUUGAAUCCCGGUCGUGCCGAAGCUAACGCAUUAAGUAUCCCGCCUGGGGGAGUACGGU